rnacentral:rRNA from 1 species
UUCCUGCGUGUUCGGGAUGCUGGCGAAAUUCCUCUAUCCUGUCCGUCUCGAAACACAGACCGAGGAGUUCAACGUGCAUGCGAGCCGGUGGGUGAUUAGCCCACGAGGCGGAAGAAACCUGAGUGGCAGGAACCCUCUGCGGGUGCACCGUCCGCCAACCACGAUCUGUUGUGAGAGGUUUGAGUGUGAUCAUGCCAGUUCGGACCCGAAAGAUGGUGAACUAUGCCUGAGCAGGGGGAGGCCAGAGGAAACUCUGGUGGAGGCUCGCAGCAAUACUGACGUACAAAUCGUUCGUCGGACUUGGGUAUAGRGGCGAAAGACUAAUCGAACCGUCGGGUAGCUGGUUCCCUCUGAACUUUCCCUCAAGAUAGCUGGAGUUGUUGAACAGUUUUAUCGGGUAAAGCGAAUGACUAGAGGCCUCGGGGGUGAAACACCCUCGACCUAUUCUCAAACUUUAAAUAGUAAGAUUUCGGGGUUGCUUAAGCGAACCCCGAGGAAUCGGCGAGGAUCAAUGAAAGCUCCAAGUGGGCCAUUUUUGGUAAGGAGAACCGACAAUGCGGGAUGAACCGAAAGUCGAGCUACGGUGCCAAACUGCGCGCUAACCCAGACACCACAAAGGGUGUUGAUUGAUACAGACAGCAGGACGCUGGUCAUAGAAGUCGAAAUAUGCUAAGGAGUGUGUAACAACUCACCUGUCGAAUCAAUCAGCCCCGAAAAUGGAUGGCGCUGAAGCGCGCAACCUAUGCUCGGUCGUCGUUGCGAUUCUGAUGCCGCGACGAGUAGGAGGGCGUAGGGCCUGCCGCGAAGCCUGGAGCGUGAGCCUAGGUGAAGCGGGUCCCGGUGCAGAUCUUGGUGGUAGUAGCAAAUAUUCAAAAGAGAACUUUGAAGACCGAAGUGGAGAAGGGUUCCAUGUGAACAGCGCUUGGGCAUGGGUCAGUCGGCCCUAAGAGAUGUGGAAACCUUGUAUCAAGGGCGCACUACGAGCCACACAUCGAAAGGGGGUCGGGUUCAUAUUCCYGAACCGGGUUGUGGAGGUGGASGGUAACGUAAGCAGCUCCGGAAGAUGCCGGCGGGRGCCGUGGGGAGCGUUCUCUUUUCUUCUUGACGGCUCGCCCACCCUGGAAUCGGAUCAACCGGAGAUACGGUGCAGCGCCCGGCAAAGCAGCGCGCGUCCUGUGGUGUUCAGCGCGCCCCCGACGGCCCUURAAAAUCUGGAGCUGCGGGUACCUCUCACGCCCGGCCGUACUCAUAACUGCAUCAUGUCUCCUAGGUGAGCAGCCUCUGGUCAAAGGAAGAACGUAGGUAAGGGAAGUCGGCAAUAUGGAUCCGUAUCCUUGGGAAAAGGAUUGGUUCUGAGGGCUGGGCCUAGGGGUCUGCGCCUCGAUGUCGUUGACUGCCGGUGUGGUCUGCCUGAGCUGCUCUCGCGGAGAGGGCGGAGCCCGCGUGCCAGUGUGCUGACGGUCGUAGAAUGUCUUAUGUCCCCACCUUUCGGGUGGGGCCAUGGGACUCUCCCUAACCAUCAAAGUGCCAACUCAGAACUGGUGCGGACAAGGGGAAUCCGACUGUUUAAUUAAAACAAAGCAUUGCGAGGGUCCCAACGGAUGUUGACGCAAUGUGAUUUCUGCCCAGUGCUCUUAAUGUCAAAGUGAAGAGAUUCAACCAAGCGCGGGUAAACGGCGGGAGUAUCUAUGACUCUUUUAAGGUAGCCAAAUGCCUCGUCAUCUAAUUAGUGACGAGCAUGAAUGGAUUAACGAGAUUCCCACUGUCCCUACCUACCCUCCUGCGAAACUACAGCCAAGUGGAUGGGCUUGGAAGAAUCGGCGGGGAAAGAAGACCCUGUUGAGCUUGACUCUAGUUCGACUCUGUGAAAUGACUUGAGAGCUGUAGAGUAAGUGGGAGCCUUACGGCGCAAGUGAAAUACCACUACUUUUAACGUUAUUUUACUUAUUUCGUGAGGUGGAGUCGGGGCUCUGCCCCUGCUUCUCGAUCCAAGGUGCAGACCCUCGUGGCCUAUUCGAUCCAAGCGAAAGACAUUGUCAGGUGGGGAGUUUGGCUGGGGCGGCAUCUUCUGUUAGAAGAUAACGUAGGUCUUCUAAGAUGAGCUCAAUGAGAACAUAAAUCUCGUGUGGAGAAAAGGGCAAAAGAUCAUUUGAUUUUGAUUUCCUGUACGAAUACAAACUGUGAGAGCAUGGCUAUCGAUCCUUUAGCGUUUCAGGACUUGAAGCUAGAGGUGUCAGAAAAGUUACCACAGGGAUAACUGGCUUGUGGCAGCCAAGCGUUCAUAGAGACGUUGCUUUUUGAUCCUUCGAUGUCGGCUCUUCCUAUCAUUGUGAAGCAGAAUUCACCAAGUGUUGGA